rnacentral:rRNA from 1 species
UCUUAGCUUGCUAAGACUGAUGGCGACCGGCGCACGGGUGCGUAACGCGUAUGCAACUUGCCUCACAGAGGGGGAUAACCCGUCGAAAGACGGACUAAUACCGCGUACACUUACAGGAGGGCAUCCUUCAGUAAGGAAAUGAAUUCCGCUGUGAGAUAGGCAUGCGUCCCAUUAGCUAGUUGGUGAGGUAACGGCUCACCAAGGCGACGAUGGGUAGGGGAACUGAGAGGUUGAACCCCCACACCGGUACUGAGACACGGACCAGACUCCUACGGGAGGCAGCAGUGAGGAAUAUUGGUCAAUGGGCGAGAGCCUGAACCAGCCAAUUCGCGUGAAGGAUGACUGUCUUAUGGAUUGUAAACUUCUUUUAUACGGGAAUAACAAGAGCCACGUGUGGCUCCCUGCAUGUACCGUAUGAAUAAGCAUCGGCUAGCUCCGUGCCAGCAGCCGCGGUAAUACGGAGGAUGCGAGCGUUAUCCGGAUUUAUUGGGUUUACAGGGUGCGUAGGCGGCCUGUUAAGUCAGCGGUGAAUCUAGGAGCUUAACUCCUAAUUGCCAUUGAAACUGGCGGACUUGAGUGUAGAUGAGGUAGGCGGAAUGCGUGGUGUAGCGGUGGAAUGCAUAGAUAUCACGCAGAACUCCAAUUGCGAAGGCAGCUUACUAAGGUACAACUGACGCUGAAGCACGUAAGCGUGGGUAUCAAACAGGAUUAGAUAACCUGGUAGUCCACGCAGUAAACGAUGAUAACUGGGCGUAUGCGAUAUA